AACGAACGCUGGCGGCAUGCCUAACACAUGCAAGUCGAACGAGACCUUCGGGUCUAGUGGCGCACGGGUGCGUAACGCGUGGGAACCUGCCCUUAGGUUCGGACUAACUCCCCGAAAGGGGUGCUAAUACCGGAUAAUGUCUUCGGACCAAAGAUUUAUCGCCUUUGGAUGGGCCCGCGUUGGAUUAGCUAGUUGGUAGGGUAAAAGCCUACCAAGGCGACGAUCCAUAGCUGGUCUGAGAGGAUGAUCAGCCACACUGGGACUGAGACACGGCCCAGACUCCUACGGGAGGCAGCAGUGGGGAAUAUUGGAAAAUGGGCGAAAGCCUGAUCCAGCAAUGCCGCGUGAGUGAUGAAGGCCUUAGGGUUGUAAAGCUCUUUUAACCGGGAUGAUAAUGACAGUACCGGGAGAAUAAGCGCCGGCUAACUCCGUG
rnacentral:rRNA from 1 species